CGAACGGUCAACAUCACCUGGAGCGCAUCACAGAGAGAAGAUCUUGGCCGUUUUCGCGGGGAAACCGCGAAAAUAAGAUAUUCCUUAAGGAGAUCAGAUACGAAUUUCUCGAGAGUUCCAAAUACGGAGUGGCUGUCGUGUCGAAGUAUACAAAAGGAAAUCGACUGGCUAUCAGAUUAUUAUUCCAAGCAUGCCGCUUGAACGUCCGUUCCUUCUAAAACAUUCCACGAUACGAUAGGUAGUGCCAGUCGAAGACAACGCUUCUUUCCGAACGUGCAAGUGCGACGCGAAUGAGAUACAUUUGUGCAAUAACACAAAUCUCGUAACAGGUAUUUAGUCAGCGAGAUGAAGUGUUAACUGCUUGUGUCCAAUGAAGACCUGCUAGAAGGAAGUCUGAAAUGAUCAGGAGGUAUAGAGAUCAUAGCACUGUUAGACAUCUAUCUACAUUGUGGUCUUACUCGGUGAUGAAACACAGGCAAACUCUAGGAAGACGU